UGUGUGUGUGUGUGUGUGUGUGUGUGUGUGUUUACAGUAAUCAUUGAAUGGAUGGCUUUCUCUGCCCUCUCACUCUCACACACACACACACACACACACACACU
rnacentral:miRNA from 14 species